rnacentral:lncRNA from 1 species
CCAGCCAGUCAUGAAUUUUUCUGAAUGAAAUAAAUACUAACCUUUCGAAUUAAAUGAUUUUUGGUUGAUGUUCCUUGCAUUGACCAAUCCUAAGUAUCAAAGAUUGGGCCCUUUGGCUUGUCUUGUGCGAUCAUCGAUUCAAUGAGUCAAACUUUUAGCAAAGUGAGGGUUUUCGAUUCCAAUCUAAAUCCAUAGUUUUCACCUUCACAAUUGCGAUAAGUUAGGUCAGUUUUCAGCCAUCC